rnacentral:rRNA from 1 species
CGCCUCUUGCUUUACCAGUAUAAGAGGUCCCGCCUGCCCAGUGACUAUAUGUUUAACGGCCGCGGUAUUCUGACCGUGCGAAGGUAGCGUAAUCACUUGUCUUUUAAAUGAGGACUUGUAUGAAUGGCAUCACGAAGACCUUACUGUCUCCUAUAUCCAAUCAGUGAAACUGAUCUCCCCGUGAAGAAGCGGGGAUUUCACCAUAAGACGAGAAGACCCCAUGGAGCUUUAAACCUAAACCACCUGCUUUACCCUCUCAACCCACGGGGAAACUAAUUAAUUAAGCAGUGCUGGCUUACGUUUUCGGUUGGGGCGACCACGGAGAAUAAUAAAUCCUCCAUGAUGAAAGAACACCUCUUAACCAAGAGCCACAGCUCUAAGUAUUAGAACUUCUAACCUUAAUUGAUCCAAUCUUAUUGAUCAACGAACCAAGUUACCCUGGGGAUAACAGCGCAAUCCAUUUCAAGAGUCCAUAUCGACAAAUGGGUUUACGACCUCGAUGUUGGAUCAGGGCAUCCUAGUGGUGCAGCCGCUACUAAAGGUUCGUUUGUUCAACGAUUAAAGCCCUACGUGAUCUGAGUUCAGACCGGAGUAAUCCAGGUCAGUUUCUAUCUAUGUAGACUCUCCCCUAGUACGAAAGGACCGGGGAGAUGGAGCCUCUAACUUAUUAAGCUCUACCCUUAUAUUAGUGAAACCAUCUCAACUAAAAACAGGCCUAACAAUCAACCCUAAACAAGGGAC